AUCGCGCGUAGCUCUGUUUUUGACGGAUCAGCGGAGUAGUGUUACUGAGAGUCAAGCGAGCGAAGGCAUGUGGGGGAUGCCUGGGCACACAGAGGCAAAGAAGGCCGUGGUAAG
rnacentral:misc_RNA from 1 species